UACCAGCACCCCGAGUGGUCGGGACGUUUAUUGGGCCUAAAGCAUCCGUAGCCGGUUCUACAAGUCUUCCGUUAAAUCCACCUGCUUAACAGAUGGGCUGCGGAAGAUACUAUGGAGCUAGGAGGCGGGAGAGGCAAGCGGUACUCGAUGUGUAGGGGUAAAAUCCGUUGAUCCAUUGAAGACCACCAGUGGCGAAGGCGGCUUGCCAGAACGCGCUCGACGGUGAGGGAUGAAAGCUGGGGGAGCAAACCGG
rnacentral:rRNA from 1 species